GGGUUGUGAGGUUAAGCGACUAAGCGUACACGGUGGAUGCCCUGGCAGUCAGAGGCGAUGAAGGACGUGCUAAUCUGCGAUAAGCGUCGGUAAGGUGAUAUGAACCGUUAUAACCGGCGAUUUCCGAAUGGGGAAACCCAGUGUGUUUCGACACACUAUCAUUAACUGAAUCCAUAGGUUAAUGAGGCGAACCGGGGGAACUGAAACAUCUAAGUACCCCGAGGAAAAGAAAUCAACCGAGAUUCCCCCAGUAGCGGCGAGCGAACGGGGAGCAGCCCAGAGCCUGAAUCAGUGUGUGUGUUAGUGGAAGCGUCUGGAAAGGCGCGCGAUACAGGGUGACAGCCCCGUACACAAAAAUGCACAUGCUGUGAGCUCGAUGAGUAGGGCGGGACACGUGGUAUCCUGUCUGAAUAUGGGGGGACCAUCCUCCAAGGCUAAAUACUCCUGACUGACCGAUAGUGAACCAGUACCGUGAGGGAAAGGCGAAAAGAACCCCGGCGAGGGGAGUGAAAAAGAACCUGAAACCGUGUACGUACAAGCAGUGGGAGCACAGAGCAAUCUGUGUGACUGCGUACCUUUUGUAUAAUGGGUCAGCGACUUAUAUUCUGUAGCAAGGUUAACCGAAUAGGGGAGCCGAAGGGAAACCGAGUCUUAACUGGGCGUUAAGUUGCAGGGUAUAGACCCGAAACCCGGUGAUCUAGCCAUGGGCAGGUUGAAGGUUGGGUAACACUAACUGGAGGACCGAACCGACUAAUGUUGAAAAAUUAGCGGAUGACUUGUGGCUGGGGGUGAAAGGCCAAUCAAACCGGGAGAUAGCUGGUUCUCCCCGAAAGCUAUUUAGGUAGCGCCUCGUGAAUUCAUCUCCGGGGGUAGAGCACUGUUUCGGCAAGGGGGUCAUCCCGACUUACCAACCCGAUGCAAACUGCGAAUACCGGAGAAUGUUAUCACGGGAGACACACGGCGGGUGCUAACGUCCGUCGUGAAGAGGGAAACAACCCAGACCGCCAGCUAAGGUCCCAAAGUCAUGGUUAAGUGGGAAACGAUGUGGGAAGGCCCAGACAGCCAGGAUGUUGGCUUAGAAGCAGCCAUCAUUUAAAGAAAGCGUAAUAGCUCACUGGUCGAGUCGGCCUGCGCGGAAGAUGUAACGGGGCUAAACCAUGCACCGAAGCUGCGGCAGCGACGCUUAUGCGUUGUUGGGUAGGGGAGCGUUCUGUAAGCCUGCGAAGGUGUGCUGUGAGGCAUGCUGGAGGUAUCAGAAGUGCGAAUGCUGACAUAAGUAACGAUAAAGCGGGUGAAAAGCCCGCUCGCCGGAAGACCAAGGGUUCCUGUCCAACGUUAAUCGGGGCAGGGUGAGUCGACCCCUAAGGCGAGGCCGAAAGGCGUAGUCGAUGGGAAACAGGUUAAUAUUCCUGUACUUGGUGUUACUGCGAAGGGGGGACGGAGAAGGCUAUGUUGGCCGGGCGACGGUUGUCCCGGUUUAAGCGUGUAGGCUGGUUUUCCAGGCAAAUCCGGAAAAUCAAGGCUGAGGCGUGAUGACGAGGCACUACGGUGCUGAAGCAACAAAUGCCCUGCUUCCAGGAAAAGCCUCUAAGCAUCAGGUAACAUCAAAUCGUACCCCAAACCGACACAGGUGGUCAGGUAGAGAAUACCAAGGCGCUUGAGAGAACUCGGGUGAAGGAACUAGGCAAAAUGGUGCCGUAACUUCGGGAGAAGGCACGCUGAUAUGUAGGUGAAGUCCCUCGCGGAUGGAGCUGAAAUCAGUCGAAGAUACCAGCUGGCUGCAACUGUUUAUUAAAAACACAGCACUGUGCAAACACGAAAGUGGACGUAUACGGUGUGACGCCUGCCCGGUGCCGGAAGGUUAAUUGAUGGGGUCAGCGCAAGCGAAGCUCUUGAUCGAAGCCCCGGUAAACGGCGGCCGUAACUAUAACGGUCCUAAGGUAGCGAAAUUCCUUGUCGGGUAAGUUCCGACCUGCACGAAUGGCGUAAUGAUGGCCAGGCUGUCUCCACCCGAGACUCAGUGAAAUUGAACUCGCUGUGAAGAUGCAGUGUACCCGCGGCAAGACGGAAAGACCCCGUGAACCUUUACUAUAGCUUGACACUGAACAUUGAGCCUUGAUGUGUAGGAUAGGUGGGAGGCUUUGAAGUGUGGACGCCAGUCUGCAUGGAGCCGACCUUGAAAUACCACCCUUUAAUGUUUGAUGUUCUAACGUUGACCCGUGAUCCGGGUUGCGGACAGUGUCUGGUGGGUAGUUUGACUGGGGCGGUCUCCUCCUAAAGAGUAACGGAGGAGCACGAAGGUUGGCUAAUCCUGGUCGGACAUCAGGAGGUUAGUGCAAUGGCAUAAGCCAGCUUGACUGCGAGCGUGACGGCGCGAGCAGGUGCGAAAGCAGGUCAUAGUGAUCCGGUGGUUCUGAAUGGAAGGGCCAUCGCUCAACGGAUAAAAGGUACUCCGGGGAUAACAGGCUGAUACCGCCCAAGAGUUCAUAUCGACGGCGGUGUUUGGCACCUCGAUGUCGGCUCAUCACAUCCUGGGGCUGAAGUAGGUCCCAAGGGUAUGGCUGUUCGCCAUUUAAAGUGGUACGCGAGCUGGGUUUAGAACGUCGUGAGACAGUUCGGUCCCUAUCUGCCGUGGGCGCUGGAGAAUUGAGGGGGGCUGCUCCUAGUACGAGAGGACCGGAGUGGACGCAUCACUGGUGUUCGGGUUGUCAUGCCAAUGGCACUGCCCGGUAGCUAAAUGCGGAAGAGAUAAGUGCUGAAAGCAUCUAAGCACGAAACUUGCCCCGAGAUGAGUUCUCCCUGACUCCUUGAGAGUCCUGAAGGAACGUUGAAGACGACGACGUUGAUAGGCCGGGUGUGUAAGCGCAGCGAUGCGUUGAGCUAACCGGUACUAAUGAACCGUGAGGCUUAACCUUACAACGCCGAAGGUGUUU
rnacentral:rRNA from 1 species